rnacentral:rRNA from 1 species
GACGAACGCUGGCGGCGUGCUUAACACAUGCAAGUCGAACGGAAAGGCCCUGCUUUUGUGGGGGGCUCGAGUGGCGAACGGGUGAGUAACAGGUGAGUAACCUGCCCUUGACUUUGGGAUAACUUAGGGAAACUGGGGCUAAUACCGGAUAGGAGCUCCUGCUGAAUGGUGGGGGUUGGAAAGUUUCGGCGGUUGGGGAUGGACUCGCGGCUUAUCAGCUUGUUGGUGGGGUAGUGGCUUACCAAGGCUUUGACGGGUAGCCGGCCUGAGAGGGUGACCGGCCACAUUGGGACUGAGAUACGGCCCAGACUCCUACGGGAGGCAGCAGUGGGGAAUAUUGCACAAUGGGCGGAAGCCUGAUGCAGCAACGCCGCGUGCGGGAUGACGGCCUUCGGGUUGUAAACCGCUUUCGCCUGUGACGAAGCGUGAGUGACGGUAAUGGGUAAAGAAGCACCGGCUAACUACGUG